rnacentral:rRNA from 1 species
UACGUAGGGGGCGAGCGUUGUCCGGAGUUACUGGGCGUAAAGGGCGCGUAGGCGGUUGAGCGCGUGUCCGGUGCCAGCCCGUUGCUUAACGACGGGAGUGCCGGGCAGACGGCUGAACUGGAGGGCCGCAGAGGGACAUAGAAUUCCGGGUGGAGUGGUGAAAUGCGUAGAGAUCGGAAAGAACACCAACGGCGAAAGCACUCUGCUGGGCCGACACUGACACUGAGAGACGAAAGCUAGGGGAGCGAAUGGG